rnacentral:lncRNA from 1 species
CUGGGCUACAUAGCAAGAUCCUGUCUGAAAAACAAACAAACAAACAAACAAGAACUAGCCUUAAGAAUAGUCCCCGACAAAGGCUGCCUCAUAGUGAUAAUGUAGAGCAGGCAAAAGUGUCUGUCCGGGUCCCACCGAACCUCAGAGUACUGCUUUAGGGUUCUGCCACAAAGGCAGUGCCCCCUGAAGAUGCUCAUAGCCAAACCCCACCCCACCUACAGAUAUGGCUGUGCAGAAAUGGAAAGGUUAGGGAAAAACAAAAAAACCUGCAAGAAACCUGACCAGCCCUCUGAAACUCAGCGAUCCUGCAGCUGCAAGAAAUGAGCCCCAGAUAUGUCCUGGGACCCACAGAAGGUACCCUCCAUGGGGAGCUCCAGGUGGCCCAUCGCUCUGCUGGCCUCCCUGAUCUUUAGUACCUGUCACACCGCUAAGUUUCAGAAGCUCGGGUCUGUAACAAGUAGAGGCUGUUCCCAUCCAGGCCACCCUCAGGACGGAUUAUUGAGGACAUCUGAUGGGUUCCUGGAGGUACAAAGCUUGUCAGGUGGGCCCUGAGCCACUUCCUGCUCUCCAGCUGGGCGCUGCCCUGAGCUCUGACAUGGAGGAUUUCCUGGAGUUUGGAAAGCUGCUGCUUCUUUUUUCUCUGAUUGGGACUUGCUCUUUGGACUUGGGAGAGCAGCCAGUCUAUGUACGAUGCAGCCCCACUUGGUUCCUCGCCAGAGUCAAGCAAAAUGCAUUUGACAGUGACAUCCCAAUGGCCCCUGAAGAAGUGUAUCUAGGGCGUACCUGUCCUGUAAGCUCUGUACAUCCCGGAUUCUACCAGUUUCUGUACCACACCAAUCAGUGUGAGAUCAGGACUGAGGUUCUUCCAGAGGAUCUGCUCCUUUUCGAGUCUGAAAUCUUCUUUGUAUCAAUGCUGUCAGACGUUUACGCAACAAUACCCGUGGUCUGCAUUGUGCCCCGCCAUCCAGCUGCUAUCAAAAACAAAGAACGCAACGCCUGUGAAGAGAAUGUCUCCUCGGAGAGCUCCUGGGAGAGCUCCUCGGAGAGCUCCUCGGAGAGCUCAGGAAGAGCCCUGUACACUUUGCAGAGGCAACUGCAAACUUGAGAGCAAACUCCCUGCUCCAGUGCUUCUCCACUGCUCUUUCUCCACCUGAGUUUUCAGAAGCGGAAAUAAUGCCCAGAAAUUGUGGCUGCUGCCGCUGGACAUGUUAGAAGCUGUGCCUAAGGAUCCUGCCUAUCUUACAUUUUAAAAUGUUUUAAACGACUUGAUUUUUAAUGAAAUGGCUCUUUAUACUUUCCUGACCCCU